rnacentral:rRNA from 1 species
AGAGAGAGACAUGCGCGCAUAUCAAUAAGCGGAGGAAAAGAAACUAACAAGGAUUCCCUUAGUAACGGCGAGUGAAGCGGGAAGAGCUCAAAUUUGAAAUCUUCAAGGUUUUACCUUGACGAAUUGUAGUUUAAAGAAGUGUUUUCUGCUGAAGUUUUGGUAAAAGUUCUUUGGAAUAGGACAUCAUAGAGGGUGAGAAUCCCGUAUUUGACCAUUAUUUUCAGCUUUGUGAUACACUUUCAAAGAGUCGGAUUGUUUGGGAAUGCAGUCCAAAAUGGGUGGUAAAUUUCAUCUAAAGCUAAAUAUUGGCGAGAGACCGAUAGCGAACAAGUACCGUGAGGGAAGAUGAAAAGAACUUUGAAAAGAGAGUUAAACAGUACGUGAAAUUGUCAAAAGGGAAGCGUUUGACACCAGUGUUGUUUUCUCGAAAAUCAAUUAAAAAUGGCUCGAUUUUGUAUUGCUUGAGACCUUAAAAGCUCACUGUACAUUUUUCGUGUCUUUUUAAUGCACUUUUCGUUUAACAAGUCAACAUCAGUUUCUUUUGUUGUAAAAGGGUCAUUGGAAGGUGGCUUUCUUUUCGGAGAAAGUGUUUAUAGCCUUUGGCCUCUGCAAUCGGAGAGACUGAGGUCUGCAGCGUAGACUCUUCGGGGUUAGAUACAUUUGUGCUAAGUUAUAGCUUUUUAUAGACAACUUGUUGACUAUAAUUAGUCUUGUAGCUUACUCGCUUAUGCUAUUUUACCUACGCUUAGGAUGUUGAAGAUGUAGCACAUCAU